rnacentral:rRNA from 1 species
AUUGAACGCUGGCGGCAGGCCUAACACAUGCAAGUCGAGCGGAUGAAGGUAGCUUGCUCCUGGAUUCAGCGGCGGACGGGUGAGUAAUGCCUAGGAAUCUGCCUGGUAGUGGGGAUAACGUCCGGAAACGGGCGCUAAUACCGCAUACGUCCUGAGGGAGAAAGUGGGGGAUCUUCGGACCUCACGCUAUCAGAUGAGCCUAGGUCGGAUUAGCUAGUUGGUGGGGUAAAGGCCUACCAAGGCGACGAUCCGUAACUGGUCUGAGAGGAUGAUCAGUCACACUGGAACUGAGACACGGUCCAGACUCCUACGGGAGGCAGCAGUGGGGAAUAUUGGACAAUGGGCGAAAGCCUGAUCCAGCCAUGCCGCGUGUGUGAAGAAGGUCUUCGGAUUGUAAAGCACUUUAAGUUGGGAGGAAGGGCAGUAAGUUAAUACCUUGCUGUUUUGACGUUACCAACAGAAUAAGCACCGGCUAACUUCGUG